GCUCAGAACGAACGCUGGCGGCGUGCCUAACACGUGCAAGUCGAACGAGAAAUUCCGACUCGUCGGAAGAGUAAAGUGGCGAACGGGUGAGUAACGCGUGGGUAAUCUACCCUUGAGUUCGGGAUAACUUCGCGAAAGCGGAGCUAAUACCGAAUAAAACUGACCUUGUUCCGGCAAGAUCAGUAAAAGAUGGUCUCUACAUGUAAGCUGUCGCUCAAGGAUGAGCCCGUGUACCAUUAGCUUGUUGGUAGGGUAAUGGCUUACCAAGGCAACGAUGGUUAGCUGGUCUGAGAGGAUGGCCAGCCACACUGGAACUGAGACACGGUCCAGACUCCUACGGGAGGCAGCAGUGGGGGAUUUUGCGCAAUGGGGGAAACCCUGACGCAGCGACGCCGUGUGAGUGAUGAAGGCCUUCGGGUCGUAAAGCUCUGUCAGGUGGGAAGAAAUAUCCUGAUAUGAAUAGUAUCGGGGUUUGACGGUACCACCAAAGGAAGCACCGGCUAACUCCGUGCCAGCAGCCGCGGUAAUACGGAGGGUGCAAGCGUUGUUCGGAAUUAUUGGGCGUAAAGAGCGUGUAGGCGGUUGAACAAGCCAGAUGUGAAAUCCCUCGGCUCAACCGAGGAAGUGCAUUUGAAACUGUUCAGCUUGAGUACGGGAGAAGAGAGCGGAAUUCCCGGUGUAGAGGUGAAAUUCGUAGAUAUCGGGAGGAACACCGGUGGCGAAGGCGGUUUUCUGGCCUGAUACUGACGCUGAGACGCGAAAGCGUGGGGAGCAAACAGGAUUAGAUACCCUGGUAGUCCACGCCGUAAACGAUGGGCACUAGGUGUAGGAGGUACUGAAUCCUUCUGUGCCGAAGCUAACGCAUUAAGUGCCCCGCC
rnacentral:rRNA from 1 species